rnacentral:rRNA from 1 species
AAUCAACGCUGGCGGCGUGCCUCAGACAUGCAAGUCGAACGCUGCUGUUCGCCUUCGGGUGGACAGCGGAGUGGCGCACGGGUGAGUAACACGUAGGUAAUCUACCUUUGGGUGGGGAAUAACAGCCGGAAACGGCUGCUAAUACCGCGUAAUGCAGCGGCAUCACAUGAUGACAGUUGUUAAAGCGGGGGAUCGUAAGACCUCGCGCCUGAAGAGGAGCCUGCGGCAGAUUAGGUAGUUGGUGAGGUAAUGGCUCACCAAGCCUGCGAUCUGUAACCGGCCUGAGAGGGCGGUCGGUCACACUGACACUGACAUACGGGUCAGACUCCUACGGGAGGCAGCAGUCGGG